UACCAGCACCCCGAGUGGUCGGGACGAUUAUUGGGCCUAAAGCAUCCGUAGCCGGUCCUGCAAGUCUUCCGUUAAAUCCAGCUGCUCAACAGAUGGGCUGCGGGGGAUACUACAUGGCUAGGAGGCGGGAGAGGCAAGCGGUACUUUAUGGGUAGGGGUAAAAUCCGUUGAUCCAUAGAAGACCACCAGUGGCGAAGGCGGCUUGCCAGAACGCGCUCGACGGUGAGGG
rnacentral:rRNA from 1 species